GUGCUCACUUUGGCAGCACAUAUGCUAAAUUGGAAUGACAGAAGAUUAGCAUGACCCCUGUGCAAGGAUGACACACAAAUGUGUGAAGUGUCCCAUAUUUUU
rfam:Canis lupus familiaris chromosome 28, whole genome shotgun sequence.